rnacentral:lncRNA from 1 species
GGGGGUCGGUGAUCUUGUUUUUGGAGUCUCAUUUUUUGAAACUGAGAAGGCUCGCUCCAUUAUUUUUGGGCAGUUCACUUUAAUUAAGUUUGUUGAAUUAUAACUGGUGAUUGUCUUAUCAAACUAAUUGGGUGAAUUUCCCACACCAAGACUUUUCAUAAGUCUUGUGACCUUACUUCGUAUCAAUUGAUGACUUCACCCGGUUUAGGGUUAUGCUUCCUAGGUCUUCUUUUUCGUUUUUCUACAUAGUAUUAGACUUGGUUUCUCAAUUUAAAAAAAAUAAUAAAAGAAAAAUUUGCUGGUUGGUUGAUGUGGAAUGGACAGCUACUUAAGGGCUCGAGCCAGGACUUUUGAGCCUGUGGAAUUGUGAUGUGAUAAUCAAGCAGCUAUAUUGCAUUACUUUGUGUUCCAUAAGUGUAUUAGACAUUUUGAAGUAGAUAUUCAUUUUGUAAGGGAAAAACUUCAAGUUUUAUUAUUUCUCCUGGUCAUGUUAAAACCGCAGAACACCUAGCUGAUCUCCAAUUACUAUCAGAUGAAGUCUGGAAAGUUUGGCUUAUACUAUCUUUGCAUGGUUUUUACAAUGUUAGAGGGCAAGGAAUAUAGAAAUGUUGUCUAAGUUAAGGUAGUAGUAUUGCUGUUCUCUGUAAUGAACUCCUUUUGGCUUUUGGUGUUCCACAUUAUGGCUCUAACUUUUGGCCCUUGUGAGUUUGGGAUCUC